GACGAACGCUGGCGGCGUGCCUAAUACAUGCAAGUCGAACGCAGUGGGGACGGGUGCGUAACACGUGGGUAACCUCCCAUCAGAGGGGAUAACCCUUGGAAACAGGUGCUAAACCGAUCCUGCUGGAUGGACCCGCGGUGCAUUAGCUAGUUGGUGAGGUCACGGCUCACCAAGGCAACGAUGCAUAGCUGACCGGAGAGGGUGAUCGGCCAACCUGGGACUGAGACACGGCCCAGACUCCUACGGGAGGCAGCAGUAGGGAAUCUUCGGCAAUGGACGAAAGUCUGACCGAGCAACGCCGCGUGAGUGAAGGAGGUUUUCGGAUCGUAAAGCUCUGUUGUUAGAGAAGCGGUAUCUAACCAGAAAGCAACGGCUAACUACGUGCCAGCAGCCGCGGUAAUUC
rnacentral:rRNA from 1 species